ensembl:snoRNA small nucleolar RNA SNORA11
GGGGUGUGCUCAGAGCAGGGGGUCUGAAGAAUGGCCCCGCUGUUUAUAACACACCCAACAGAAUCUGGUCAUUGUGUGAGGAGGGUUAGGAAUGUAUUGCCUUCCUCUGAGCAAAUGCCCUACACAU